rnacentral:piRNA from 1 species
UGUAUCGCUGUUUUUUUCAAA